UCUGGCUCCGUUCCGGGGUCCGAGUUGUAAUUUGGAGAGGAUGCUUCGGGCGCGGCACCGGUCUAAGUCCCUUGGAACAGGGCGUCAUAGAGGGUGAGGAUCCCGUAUGUGACCGGCGACCAAGUCCAGGUGAAGCUCCUUCGACGAGUCGAGUUGUUUGGGAAUGCAGCUCAAAAUGGGUGGUAAAUUUCAUCUAAAGCUAAAUACCGGCCAGAGACCGAUAGCGCACAAGUAGAGUGAUCGAAAGAUGAAAAGCACUUUGGAAAGAGAGUCAAAAAGUACGUGAAAUUGUUGAAAGGGAAGCGCUUGUAACCAGACCUGCCGUCGGGUGCUCAGCGGGCACUUGUGCCCGCCUAUUCACCCGCGAUCAGGCCAGCAUCGGUUUUGGCGGCCGGAUAAAGACUCGAGGAAUGUAGCUUCGCUUCGGGGAAGUGUUAUAGCCUCGGGUGCAAUACGGCCAGCCGGGACCGAGGACCGCGCCUCGGCUAGGAUGCUGGCGUAAUGGUUGCAAGCGACCCGUCUUGAAACACGGACCAAGGAGUCUAACAUCUAUGCGAGUGUUUGGGUGUCAAACCCAUGCGCGGAAUGAAAGUGAACGGAGGUGGGAACCCUCAAGGGCGCACCAUCGACCGAUCCGGAAGUUUACGGAUGGAUUUGAGUAUGAGCAUAGCUGUUGGGACCCGAAAGAUGGUGAACUAUGCCUGAAUAGGGUGAAGCCAGAGGAAACUCUGGUGGAGGCUCGCAGCGGUUCUGACGUGCAAAUCGAUCGUCAAAUUUGGGUAUAGGGGCGAAGUAAGCAUCCCCGGUCCCUUAUUUUCUGGUGCAACAGUUGCUAACAUAUCAUUAACAGAGACUAAUCGAACCAUCUAGUAGCUGGUUCCUGCCGAAGUUUCCCUCAGGAUAGCAGUAACGUUUUCAGUUUUAUGAGGUAAAGCGAAUGAUUAGAAGCCUUGGGGAUGAAACAUCCUUAACUUAUUCUCAAACUUUAAAUAUGUAAGAAGUCCUUGUUACUUAGUUGAACGUGGACAUUUGAAUGCACCGUUACUAGUGGGCCAUUUUUGGUAAGCAGAACUGGCGAUGCGGGAUGAACCGAACGUGGGGUUAAGGUGCCGGAAUGUACGCUCAUCAGACACCAGGGGGAAGACUUGUGGUGUCGGGCUGGGGGGGACACUCCCCCCCAGCCUCAAGUCUGUUCAAGGCGAGGUCUUUAACUUGUCAGGGGUCGGUGUCGCUCCGCGACGGCCUACCCUCUGCUGUCCCCUCCCGCGGGGGGGCAGCUCACAGAUCAAGCAAAGGCCGGCGGCAGGAUGCCGUUGGAGAUAUGAUCGGCCCCUGGAGG
rnacentral:rRNA from 1 species